rnacentral:tRNA from 2 species
GGGGCUGUAGUCCGGUAGGGACCCGGGCCUGAUUGUAGAUCAGAUGUCACGCCGUGACCGUCCUGGCUCGACUCCAGGCAGCCCCA